UAUAUAUACACACAACACUUAACGCCACUUGCAACUUAGAUUUCGUUGUGUUACUUUCUUCUGAAUAAAAACACUUAGCUUGAUUUAUGCUGGAAAUCAUUUCCUUUUAACUUGAUCGAGCAGUUUCCCAAGCUUAUGGCAAUUGAUUUCUUUUGUUAUUGGUGUGUUUCAUCUUUCAAGGUGUGUGUGUGGGUGUCGGGGGAGGGUUAGGGACUAUUUGUGAGUCUUUGAUCUUCUCAAAUUUCUAGAGUCAGGUUGAGCAAGAUGCCUUACUGCUGACAUAUGUAGAUGUACAGCAGUGUAAAUUCUAACGUAUGCGGUAAUAUAUAGUUACGAGUAAUCAAAUGUUUUUUCCUCUUAAAGGUCUUCCUCGAUUUUCUUUGCUGCAUUUCUGCCUUGAUUUUUUUUUCAAAGUUAGUCCCCAUCUGCAAUCUCUAUUUUAUUUUCUCCGAAAGUCUCUGAUUCUUUUAACCCUUCUUCUCAUCUUUAAUAUGAGCUGUUACCACUGGCCAGCUAGCUAAAGCGUUUUUGAUGAAUGAUGAACCAUCGAUUAGAGGUCCUAAUCCAUUCCCGAUCAUCCACCGUUAUUGGUAGCGUCCUAGUAUCUCUACGCACUAACCAUUUUAAUAC
rnacentral:lncRNA from 1 species